rnacentral:rRNA from 1 species
UACGUAGGGUGCGAGCGUUGCCCGGAUUUAUUGGGCGUAAAGGGCGCGUAGGCGGCUCGGCACGUCCGUUGUGAAAUCGCCCGGCUCAACUGGGCGGGGUCAGCGGAUACGGUCGAGCUUGAGCAAGCUAGGGGGCAAUGGAAUUCCCGGUGUAGUGGUGGAAUGCGUAGAUAUCGGGAGGAACACCAGUGGCGAAGGCGACAUCCUGGACCAACACUGACGCUGAGGAGCGAAAGCCAGGGGAGCAAACGGG